UUGUCUCAGGGGCUAUAAGAAAUAUAACAGAUCUCAAAGGAAAAACAGUGGCUCUGUCAGCAACUAUGGCACAGGAAGGUCACCUUUUCAUCGUGGUGCUAACAGCCAACUGGAGUGGCAGUAUUACCAAAAUAAAAUCCUGAAAGGAGAAGCAGAUCAUGCUGACCCAGAAAGUGGAGAUUUGAUUGCUGAGAUUAAAGGCUUGAGUCACCAUGAUUAUCUGUAAUAAAGUGAGGUGUUAGAGCCUGUGGCCUAGUGAAGUGAACAUCGGGGCUGGGCGAGUAUGGACUCAGAGAUGACCAACUCUGUGUGUGUGUGUUCUUCAGUCUCAGGUUCCUUUUGUUAUUUGACCUCUAUACAAUAGGGUCUGAUUACAGGUUAUUCUUUACAGGACCGGUGGGUGUAGGUCUGGCCUUAGAGAUAACAAACUCAGAUCAGGAGAUUUACAUUUGAGUUAAUACAAAGCUCAGAGCUGCCUCAAAGCUGCUCAAAGCUGCAGAGGCUUGAGAGAUGCAGUUUUGUCUUGCAGGCCUCACUUAGAGAGUUUCUGGCCAAAAGAACAUUUUUAACAGAUCCAUACAGAUGUGGUUCAAAAUGAAGUUCAAACUUAGAUCUAAAAUUUUGGCCUGCCUACUACAUACAAAAUUAUUAUAGAUUUAAGAUUUUCAUUAGAAGGUUAUUCCUCAAUAAAUGGCUUGCUCUUAACAUUGGGCGUUUAAAUUUUUUAAGAAAAUGAUUUUCAAAAGGUGUUAAGAUAAAUAUUUUGCCUAAGACACUGCUUUAAGUUCGUCAUUUAAGCUUCUGAUGUCCCCAAGAUAGAUGCAAAACAAAUACUGAGAGACAUAACUUGGAGAAAGCUACCAUAAGUAUUUGUCAACAGUUGAUGAUAUAUGUUCACUUCCAUUCCUUAACAAAGAGAACAUUAAUAUAAAAUCUCUCCAAAUAAGGUUUUGACAUCCUCCAAUAAAGAUUUGAUAUAAUAAUAAAAAGUUACAAAAUAAAAUCAUAAAAAUAUUUUUUAAAAAAAGAAUGUUUUAAGAGCAUGAUAAAAUGUUUGUUCCUUAUUUUAAACAGCAAUCAAAUUGAUUAUUAUUAAUCAUUAAUCUAUUACAUGACAAGACUUUUUGACAAAAUUAAUAAUUGUUAUCUAAAAGAUAAAUUGUUAAAAAUUUGCCUCUAUACAUGUUUUUAUAUUGUUAUAGAUUUAUACAUGCAUCCUAUAAAAAUGCAUCUACUAUGGGAGUAAAGCUCAUAUAAUUAGAUCACAUGUUUAUUCUUUUGAGUGUCCCCUUGCUUCAGCACAGAUAAUUGAACUGGGUGCUGUAGCUGUUCUUUUAAAAUGUUAAAAAUCAAACUUUUGAUUUUUUUUGUUUUUUGUUUUUUGUUUUUUUGGGGAGGAAAGGUUUUAUUCAGCUUACACUUCCACAUUGCUGUUCAUUACCAAAUGAGUCAAGACAAAAGUCCAAAUAGGACAGGAUUUAUUUUUAAAUUCGGUAUAUUCUUUAUUUACAUUUCAAAUGAUUUCCCCUUUUCUGGCUCCCCACUCCGGAAAGUCCCGUAAGCCCUCUUCCCUCCACCCCUGAUCCUUCAUCUACUCCUUCCCAUUUCCCUGUUCUGGUAUUCCCCUAUACUGCUGCACUGAGCCUUUCCAGAACCAGGGGCCACUCCUUCCUUCUUCUUGGACAUCAUUUGAUAUGUGGAUUAUGUCUUGGGUAUUCAAAAUUUCUAGGCUAAUAAUCCACUUAUCAGCGAGUACAUACCAUGAUUGAUCUUUGGAGACUGGGUUACCUCUCUUAGUAUGAUGUUCUCCAGCUCCAUCCAUUUGUCUAAGAAUUGCAUGAAUUCCCAUAAGCCCCCUUCUCUUCCCCUGUCCUCCCACCCACCCCUUCCCACUUCCCCGUUCUGGUUUUGCCGAAUACUGCUUCACUGAGUCUUUCCAGAACAAGGGGCCACUCCUCCUUUCUUCUUGUACCUCAUUUGAUGUGUGGAUUAUGUUUUGGGUAUUCCAGUUUUCUAGGUUAAUAUCCACUUAUUAGUGAGUGCGUACCAUGAUUCACCUUUUGAGUCUGGGUUACCUCACUUAGUAUGAUGUUCUCUAGCUCCAUCCAUUUGCCUAAGAAUUUCAUGAAUUCAUUGUUUCUAAUGGCUGAAUAGUACUCCAUUGUGUAGAUAUACCACAUUUUUUGCAUCCACUCUUCUGUUGAGGGAUACCUGGGUUCUUUCCAGCAUCUGGCAAUUAUAAAUAGGGCUGCUAUGAACAUAGUAGAGCAUGUAUCCUUAUUACAUGGUGGGGAAUCCUCUGGGUAUAUGCUCAGGAGUGGUAUAGCAGGAUCUUCUGGAAGUGAGAUGCCCAGUUUUCAGAGGAACCGCCAGACUGAUUUCCAGAGUGGCUGUACCAAUUUGCAACCCCACCAGCAGUGGAGGAGUGUUCCUCUUUCUCCACACCCUCUCCAACUGGGAGUGGGGGGCUAGAAAAGGGGAAAUCAUUUGAAAUGUAAAGAAAUUAUAUCGAAUAAAAAAAUUAAAAAAAAAAGAAUUUCAUGAAUUCAUUGUUUCUAAUGGCUGAAUAGUACUCCAUUGUGUAAAUAUACCACAUUUUUUGUAUCCAUUCCUCUGUUGAGGGACACCUGGGUUCUUUCCAGCUUCUGGCUACUACAAAUAGGGCUGCUAUGAAC